ensembl:lncRNA
GUGAAGGCAAUGCAGCUGUGUGAUAGGAAGGGGUGUAGCCUGGCUGCACCUCUCUUAGACCUUAUUUAAGGGCUGACUGCCCCUGGGGAAGGGUCUCUUUCUGGGGAUCCCUCUUUGGUGGAGCUUUCUGCUGUGAAGCUGGAAUCUUCUGAUAUGGGUGCUUAAAGCCAGACAGAAUUCAGAUGCCAACAGAAAGCUCCAGACUGCCACAGGAGGAGAAGAAAGGAAGACGAGAAGAAAGAAAAUGAGAUGGGAUUUUCCUUAUCUUCCGCUUGCUGUGGGAACUGCUGAGCACAUGCUGUAAGCUGGAGCAGCACGACACGACUCUGCUGUCAGCAGCAGGUUCAAUUAGGAAUGUUUUACAGCCCAAUGGCACGAGCAGGGCGACCUUGGUGGGAGCCAUUUAUGUUUUGAUGACCUGAUGUCAGUCAAACGGGAGUCAAAUUUAUCCCAGCCCACGUUAAUGACAUGAAAACUCAUGGUUGGCCCAGUGUGGCCAAUGACUGGCAAUGGCAGACCCACACCUCUGGCAGAGGUUUGUCCCACCUGUGCUGGCUGCCUCCCAAUGCAAAGUUCUUGGCUUAGCCUGCAGGAAGUUAAAGCUCCCAGCCUCCUGCAAUCACAGCAACAGAUAUACACUAAUUUCUGUUCUUGAAAGAUAUAUUUUUCAUAAAUUUCACUUUCAGUGUUUGCAGUGUGGGCUCUUUCCCAAACAAAGCAGCCAGCGACUGAGCCUGGGUUUAUUGCCUCCACAAUCCAAAUUGCAGCUAUUAUCGCUAUCUACAACCUGCAAUUAUCCUCAGCUUGCAUAUUUCAUUUCUUUAUCAACACAUACUUUGCGCUGAUGAGAGGUGAUAGACUGGCAGCUCGGGAAGCCACGGCUGCUCUCCUACCAGCAGCUGCAAAGGCAGAGAGCAGCCCCUCACUCACUGCAGCAGCUGUGUGAUUGCUGCAGCAUUCAGGGACACAGAGCAUCUCAUGGUGGUGAGGGGAGUUCUGAUGCAUCUCAGGCCUCCCUGCUUUCCUCUGCCUUACUCUGUGCAGAAUGAAGGAGCCCACCAUUUCAUGCAUUUUUCAUGGCCCUGCGGUGUUAUCCAUCCCUUGUGCUGCCUCAGCAGUUUUUGUUUCCUCUGCCAUGAUAGGGAUUGAUUUACCCAUCCCUAAAGAUCUUCAGGCUGCCAGGCUGGAGGGUUCUACCAUGCUGGGGCUGCUGUGCAGCUGCGUUUCCUGGGAUACUCCUAUUUCAUCCAGCAAUCCUGUCUGGGUGAAGUAGAAGUAGGACUUAAUAAUAACAACUUUGGUCACCGGGCAAGUUUGUAGAUUGAAAUGGCAAUGAGAUCUGGCUACCAGAUGCCUUUGGGAGGCUCAGUGACUGCUCAACGGGGAACCAAGCUGAAAUGUUUGGCUCUAUUCUUCAUUUCAAAGUAACUGCGUUGCAGAAUGUCAUUCUGUUGAAAAUCAACAAAUCCACAGUCUCAAGAAGGGCUGCAGGGGAGACCCCAGAGUGCUUCCUUUCCUUCGUGCUGUGCCCACCAUGUGGAAUACAGAGCCAAUUUAGAUGGCAAUAUGCGGUAAGAGCUUGGUUUUGAUGCUAAUGGCUGGUGGUGGUUUUCUAAAGUAUGCUUCAACAUCAACAUAAGUUUUGUUGGACACAAUAACCAGUUCCCCUUGAGGAGCAUUCCGAUAGUUCCUGCCUCAUAAUCUUGUAUAAUAACAGUCUCCAAAGGAAAAAUGUUGUCACUAGAUGUGAAGUGCUAAUGACUGUGAUGCUGUGUCAUAAUAAGAAAGAGAAGAGAAAAACAACUUUGUCAGUGGCACGUUUCCAAACAAACAGCUCUGCUGGAAAGAAAUGAGCUGUUUGAGCAGUGCAGCAGCUGAGGGAGAGGGGAGGGAAGCUGAUCUGCUGACAGGUUUGUGGAUGGAGCAGAACGGUCAGGUCAGCCAACCCUGAGCAUGGGAGUGUGUGUUUUGUCUCCUGCCUCCCC